AUUAAGGUUCGACCCAGUAACGCGCAUUUAAUCCCGUUUAUGGAUACCGACUUCUGAGCAGUCAGCUGUAACGUUAAACGCGCAGCGCAGAUGACUGUAUAUACUGGAUCGCUAACACAUUUCGCUAUAAUGAUAACGGUGUUCCCAUAUAAUUGUUUUCGAGAGUAUACGAGAGUACACUAUCCUGAGUCUACGUGAGGUAUUAGGAGAUAUGCCGAGAGCGUCUUGU